rnacentral:rRNA from 1 species
AUUGAACGCUGGCGGCAGGCCUAACACAUGCAAGUCGAACGAGUGGCGGACGGGUGAGUAAUGUCUGGGAAACUGCCUGAUGGAGGGGGAUAACUCCUGGAACCGGUAGCUAAUACCGCAUACCAUCGGAUGUGCCCAGAUGGGAUUAGCUAGUAGGUGGGGUAAAGGCUCACCUAGGCGACGAUCCCUAGCUGGUAUGCGAGGAUGACCAGCCACACUGGAACGCAGACACGGUCCAGACUCCUACGGGAGGCAGCAGUGGGGAAUAUUUGCCAAUGGGCGCAAGCCUGAUGCAGCCAUGCCGCGUGUAUGAAGAAGGCCUUCGGGUUGUAAAGUACUUUCAGCGGGGAGGCGUUACCCGCAGAAGAAGCACCGGCUAACUCCGUGCCAGCAGCCGCGGGAAUAC